UUCAUAUUACCUCCGUCCGAAAAUACUUGUCCUAAAGAUGAAUGUAUCUAGACUUAUUUUAAUUGUAGAUACAUCCAUUGUAUGCAUUUUUAGGACAAGUAUUUUCGGACGGAGGGAGUAUUAA
rfam:Hordeum vulgare subsp. vulgare, WGS project CAJW01000000 data, contig: morex_contig_111355